GGAGGGUGCGUCUCAGGUCGGUGACUUCGGACUUGCUGCUCUGGAGUUGUUCGGUGUUGACAGCUACUUCACGGUUCAGCUCUUCGGUCUGAAACCGGAAAACACCACGUGAGAAAUAUGGGGCUUCUAAGUAGAGCAUGGACCUUCUUCUACCUUGUUGUUGAACCAGGCUUCAGCAUCCUUCCUGUUCUUCUCGGCCAUGUGUUCAUACUGGUCUCUCAUUUCAGCCAGGAUCUUGGUCAGGUCGAUGCCUGGAGCAGAAUCCAGUUCAACGUUGACCUGACCAGUCACUUGACCUCCCAGGGCACUCAUUUCCUAUGUGGACAGGGCAGAGGAACACAAAAAAGGCUACUGGCUUUUGGCUCAACAAGGACUUUUGCCUGCUCAAGGGACCUUUUUCCUUUCAGGAAUUACCCACUUGGUUUUGAAGUCGUCAGCAGCCAGCCGGGCAUUGUCAAUCUGCAGGACAAUCCUGGAGUUGUCGAUAGUGGCAUCAAGGAUCUACAAACAAGGAGAGUUCAUUGCUGAGGCUGAUACGACUAUUAUCUUCUUUCAUGAGCUGAAGAUAAAAGAGUUAAGAUUCUUUUUCAUCUGUAGCUGCAUCAAUUAAAAGUGUAUUUUAUUUGGUUCUCAGUAGGGAAGGGAAAAAAAUACUAAAAGGAGAAAAUCUAAUUGCUGGUUCUGCCUUUACUGGAGCUCAGUUUUUCCGAUCAGUAGAGAAUGUGAAUGGGUUGAAUGAGGAGACAGUAAAUGCAUGGGAGCGGUUGUGAACUCCGAGCUGAACUGUGAAAACUGAACCUCAAGUUUUCUUUCAUUGAUUUACAUGGUUUAAUCAGCUCCUACGGAUGUGCUCCGGGGUGUGUAUCAUCCCAAAGUGAUCUGUUAUCAGGUACCACUGGGGCAAAUCUGCAUUAAUAGAUGGGAUUGAUUACUUCACGUCUGCGCUUCCUUCUUCCAGAAGCCAAAUGUUUAAUCACUUUUAUUUUGAUACCAACAUCAAGUAAAUGAAACAUA